UCCUUCCAAGAGGAAGGGGGUGGUGGUGGGCAUAGAUUGUUAGAUAGAUGUCUUGUCUGUGGCAGUUAUUUACAUUGUAGGUAAUGGAACCACAACAGACAGAAGCGCAAUGGUGAAUAUUUCUCUGAAGAACACAGGAGAACACUUUGUUUAUUGCUGGAGAUUAUCCAGUAGAGCUCUGUUAGUCUUGUUUUUGUCUUUUGCAGAUUAGACUGGGGCAUGUGGAGAAAUGGGAAUCCCACCUCAGCAAAGACUACAAACUGAUGGUCUGGUUAGGUCUUUUUUGUAUUAAUGGAUGGAUAGAAUAAUGAAUGGAUUGAUUGCUGGAUGGCUGGUCAGAUGGUAAAUAGAUGUCCUUCCAAGAGGAAGGGGGUGGAGGUGGGCAUAGAUUGUUAGAUAGAUGUCUUCUUUUUGGCUGUUGUUUAAAUUGUAGUCAAGAAACACACAACAGGUGGAAAAGAGAAACUCACAAGAGCAUCAGGAGCAGGAGACUCACCAGGGGUGUCGCUAGACCCCAUUAAGGGGGCACAUGCCCCAGUAAAUGGGGCAAUGUAGUAAAUAAAGCAAUGUAGUUUAAUUGAAAACAAACUUAGGCAUCUGUGCAGAAAAUUAUUCUUGAGCGCCUCACGCACCACCGAUUCUGCUCCUGGAAUAAAUCCCGGUUGUUUAACACGCACGCUGAAAAUAAUAUGCGCUAUUCAUACAUUGUGAAACCGACGUAACGGCCUUUAAUGCAGUGAGGUCGGCACUCAGUAAGUUUUGCAAGUCGGCAGAACAAAUGUUAAAGUAAUAUGAUGAUCAUAUUUUGACUUAACAUGGCUCCUGUAAGAUGAUUUUCUAUAUGAAGCAUAAAGGAGAGACGAUGAGUCAGGGAAGUAAGGCUUGAUAACAUUAUUUCUCUGCCAUCAGAGUCAGGUCUCAGACAGAAGAUUAUUCUGUACAUGUUUGAUUUGUGUUAUCUAGAACUCUCAUGUUAUUAAAAUUCACACAAAAUAUUUGUUUAGAUAAUCUUAUAUCACUAUAGUUGUCUUUAUAUUGGAGUUCCCCAGUAGAUCUUUAUGUCUAGCAACACCCCUGAGACUAGACUGAGACACUGAGACUGAGACCCUGAGACAAGGGGAACAGUGGUGGAGAUAUACUGGAAGACCUGGAGCUCAGGAAGCAGAUUGGCAAGGAGCAUGUGGAGGAACAGGGAAACAGACCUCAGUAAUGACAAGUGCAUCAUUAUAAAUGAGAGUGGAGUGAAUAAACUAGGCAUUGCAGGAGCUCAGCCAGUAGGUUGGGCUCUGUUGGUGCUGUCCUUGACUUUUGCAGAUUGGAGUGGAGCAGAAGAGGGAGACUAAAAAGCGGAGUGAUUAAAAUGGGGCAUUUGGAGAAAUGGGAAUCACACCACAGCAAUGACUGCAACAAAGCAAACUGAUGGUCUGGUUAGAUGUUUCCUAAAUAGAUGAAUGAAUGACAAAUAGAUGUCCUUCCAAGAGGAAUGGGCUGGUGGUGGGCUUAGAUAGUUAUCUAGAUGCCUUGUCUGUGGCAGGUGUUUCUUUUUCAAGUAUUGAACACACAACAGGCAAAAGAAGGAAACACAAGAGCAUCAGUGGAGAUUUAUCUGAAGAACAUUGGAGAACAUCUUGUGCAUUGCUGGAGUUCAGCAAGCAUGUAGAGUUCUGUUGGUUGUGUCUUUAGGCUCUAUUUUGACGGUCCAUGCGCAGAGCACAAAACGCUUUCAGGGCGUGUCAGAAUGCAUUUUU